ensembl:snRNA U6 U6 spliceosomal RNA
GUUCUCACUUCAGUAGCAUAUAUACUAAAAUUGGAAUGAUACAGAUAUUAGCAUGGCCCCUGCACAGGGAUAACAUACAAGUUCAUGAAGCAUUCCAUUAAAAA